AUAGGGUGAAGAGUGAGGAGUAUAUUUUAGAUUUUUGGUGUCUGCAAUGUCAUCAUCGGAGUUGUUAUCAAUUUCUAGUUUGUUGAAGCUCGAAGGAGAUAGAGAGGCAAUGGAGGAGUAUUUAGGUAAUCUAGGUUUGCAUGUUUGAUGUUGUGAUUUAGUAGUGGUUGUAAUGAGAUUAAUUUGUUGUGUUUGUGAUUUUUGUUUCAGGUGAGAAAGCUCCGACCUUGACCACCGCCAAUCUGAAGGCCUUUGUUAACAAGGCCAAGAAGAAAGAGAAAGAAGGAUUUUCUGUUAAUUAAUGUGGCCAAAGACAGUGAGGUGGAUGGUGCUUAUUCCGUGGCCUAUCAGGAGGAGAAUUUAAAGAGAAAAAGAGGUGAUACGUCGUCAAGAGUUGCUGAUUUGACUGAGUUGAAGAAGAAUAUAGUGGGGUGUUCACGGCGGAGGAGAUCAAUGCUGCUCAUCAGAGUCAGCUAGUUCUUCAUGGGUACAAGGAUGGCCCCAUGAAUUCUUUUUGGACCAAAAGCUAUCCUUUCAUGGCCGCUGCUCGUGAGUUUUCUCAGGUUGAUGCUAAUGUGAAAAUCAUGCACAAAGUUGGUAAGAUCGGUGUGGCUUGAUACUUGCAGGUUAUUGGUAGUUGGUUGAUGUCGAUUGGUCAUACGUCUGAAUUGGAUGCUAUUUUGGAGGGUGAUAAUAUUGCUGCUAUAAAGAAGUUGAAGAAGCCUAUGAAG